rnacentral:rRNA from 1 species
GACGAACGCUGGCGGCGUGCCUAAUACAUGCAAGUAGAACGCUGAAGGAGGAGCUUGCUUCUCUGGAUGAGUUGCGAACGGGUGAGUAACGCGUAGGUAACCUGCCUGGUAGCGGGGGAUAACUAUUGGAAACGAUAGCUAAUACCGCAUAAUAUUGACUAUUGCAUGAUAGUCAGUUGAAAGGUGCAACCGCACUACUACCAGAUGGACCUGCGUUGUAUUAGCUAGUUGGUGGGGUAACGGCUCACCAAGGCGACGAUACAUAGCCGACCUGAGAGGGUGAUCGGCCACACUGGGACUGGGACACGGCCCAGACUCCUACGGGAGGCAGCAGUAGGGAAUCUUCGGCAAUGGACGGAAGGCUGACCGAGCAACGCCGCGGGAGUGAAGAAGGUUUUCGGAUCGUAAAGCUCUGUUGUAAGGGAAGAACGAGUGUGAGAGUGGAAAGCUCACACUGUGACGGUAUCUUACCAGAAAGGGACGGCUAACUACGUG